AUUUUGGUUCAGAUUGAACGUUAUUCAGUAGUUUAAGGCAUGCAAAUCAUUUUAAUAAAAUAUUCUAUGAAAACUUCAACUUGGUCUACUGGCACUAGAAACUUUGUUGGUUCACAAGUUAAAUAGAAUAUUUAGGUUACAAGGUGUAGAGGUGAGUAAUAUUAAAUUAGAUACCCAUUAGCAUCCGUAAAUAGGAUAUAAGCAAAGAGAUAAGUCUCGCUAUUGGAUUUUAAUUUAACUUGACUAGGUAGUUGGUGGGGUUAAAGGCCUACCAAGCCGACGAUCAAUAGCCAAUCUUGUAAGAGACAAUGGCCACAUUGGGUUUGAAAUCGACCCUAGUAGUUAUAAACUACCAGCAGCCGAGAAUAUUUGUCAAUGCUCGCAAGAGUGAACGAGCUAACUGAAAGAAUAUAUAAUCUAAAGUUAGGAAUCUUAUAAAAUUUAUUAUAAGUUUAAAGACGAAUCUAACUAACAGUGUCGUCCAAAUUCUGGUGCCAGAAGACUCGGUAAUACCAGAGACGCGAACGUUAAUCAUCUUGAAUGGGCAUAAAGGGUUUGUAGGCGGCUUAUUUAUUAAUAGGCUAGAAUCUUAUAGAGGUUAAUAAAAUACUUAGAGGAGGGCUGAUAUCCUUAGAUCCUAAGUGGAAUCCUAAUUGCGAAGGCCAUUUUCCACUACAGAUUGACGCUGAUACACGAAGGUUAGGAUAGGAACUAGGAUUAGAGACCCUAUUACCCCUAACUGUAAACGAUGAAUGGAAGAUAUUUACAACUGUAAGUGUCGAAGUGAAUACGAUAACCAUUCCGCCUUGCCAGUAUACUUGCAAAAGUGAAAACAAAAAAAUUAGUCGGUCCUAAAGCAAACGAAGUGAAGCAUGUUAUUUAAUUCGAUAAUCCGCGUAAAAUCUUACCACUUCUUGAAUAUUAACCUUAAUAUUAAGGUCUUAACCUAAGGGUUUGGGAUAAAUAAUUUAAUAAAUAAGUUAUUUAUUAUAAUACAGGUGUUGCAUGGCUGUCGUCAGUUCGUGUCAUGAGAUGUGAGGUUAAUUCCACUAACGAACGCAAUCCCUACUAUUAAUUAAAGUUUAAUAGUGAUUUUUUGAUAUAAGAAAUCUUUUUGGGGCUAAGACAAGUCCUUAUGACCCGAAUGGAGUGGGCUAUAGACGUGCUACUAAAGCUCAGGACAAAGUGAUGCAAUACUAACACCUUUUCUUAAUUAACGGUUAUAUUUAUAUAAUUAGUAUACUAAGGAUAGGAAUACAGAGGAGCUAAUCACAAAAACUGGCUAUUGUUUAUUGCUAUUUACUGAUUGUUGCCUGGAACUCGGCAGCAU
rnacentral:rRNA from 1 species